AUAUCUCUCUGUACGGGAAGGAUGAGAAGCUUCGACCAAGGUUCGAUUCGAGCGUCAGCGAGAAAGCGUUGCCGCAGGCAACGACCCGAAGGGCGAAGCGCGCAGCGCUGAGUCAUCCUUCCCCCACCA
rnacentral:sRNA from 1 species